CCUACGGGAGGCAGCAGUGAGGAAUAUUGGUCAAUGGACGAGAGUCUGAACCAGCCAAGUAGCGUGAAGGAUGACUGCCCUAUGGGUUGUAAACUUCUUUUAUAUGGGAAUAAAAUGUUCCACGUGUGGGAUUUUGUAUGUACCAUAUGAAUAAGGAUCGGCUAACUCCGUGCCAGCAGCCGCGGUAAUACGGAGGGUCCGAGCGUUAUCCGGAUUUAUUGGGUUUAAAGGGAGCGUAGGUGGAUUGUUAAGUCAGUUGUGAAAGUUUGCGGCUCAACCGUAAAAUUGCAGUUGAAACUGGCAGUCUUGAGUACAGGAGAGGUAGGCGGAAUUCGUGGUGUAGCGGUGAAAUGCUUAGAUAUCACGAAGAACUCCGAUUGCGAAGGCAGUUCACUGGACUGCAACUGACACUGAGGCUCGAAAGUGUGGGUAUCAAACAGGAUUAGAUACCCUGGUAGUC
rnacentral:rRNA from 1 species